UACGAGGGGGGCGAGCGUUGUUCGGAAUUAUUGGGCGUAAAGGGUGCGCAGGCGGACUGGUAAGUCAGUGGUGAAAUCUCGUCGCUUAACGACGAAACUGCCUUUGAUACUAUCAGUCUUGAAUCCGGUAGAGAUCUGUGGAAUUCCGAGUGUAGCAGUGAAAUGUGUAGAUAUUCGGAAGAACACCAGUGGCGAAGGCAGCAGAUUGGGCCGGUAUUGACGCUCAGGCACGAAAGCAUGGGGAUCAAACAGG
rnacentral:rRNA from 1 species